CUGAGCUUCCGAGUUCUCUCACUCUUACCACCUCGUCCCCCUCUCUCUUCCUCCCCCCGCGCAGCGGGAGAAGCAAUCUUAGGGUUUUUCAAGAACCAUAGGGUUAGGGCUUCGAGAAAUGGAGAAUCUUGCCCUAGUCUCAUCCAAAUUCCCCGUUCUCGUUGGCGCUCCCAAUCCCUCCGAGAUCCCUAACAGGCCCUAUCCGUCUCUCCCCCUCCCCGCAGCUAGGGGAAGAGCACGAACCGGCCUUUCGAGCAGGCCCAGAUUCGUCGCCUCCGCUCUUGGGCGUGGCGGCGAUGGAGCAUCGCAGAGGAUUCCCAAAGCAGUUGUGAAAAAAAUGGCAAUGCAAGGUUUUGCAAGCAUUUCAUCUUCAAACAGCAGUCAGAUGACAACAAGUAGUGGCACGCCUAAUUUCCCAGUGCCACCACCACCACCAUCAAACAUAGGUGCACCUCUUUUUUGGGUUGGAGUUGGAGUUGGGCUGUCAGCACUAUUCUCAAUGGUGGCAACAAGGUUAAAGAGGUAUGCAAUGCAGCAAGCUUUCAACACAGUGAUGAAUCAAACUGGCCAAUUCAAUGAUGCUGCCUUUUCACCAGGCUCACCAUUCCCAUUUCCUGCUGCACCACCCUCAGCUCCAAACUCCUCAUCACCUGCACCAGCAGCACAUGUUUCUUCUCAACCAGUUGCUAUAGCAGAUGUCCCUUCUACUAAAGUGGAAGCAACACCGCCCACUGAGAUUGGAAAUGAAACUGAAACAGAGAAGGAACCAAAGAAAUAUGCUUUUGUAGAUGUUUCCCCAGAAGAAAUUUUGCAAAAGGAAUCAACAAAGGCAAGUGCAGAGAACAUUUACUCCGAGGAGGAAGUUUCACCAAACGAAGCUGCUGUCAACCAGGAUAAAAGUGCUUCCAGUAAAUCGACAUCUAGCUUAUCAGUUGAAGCACUGGAAAAAAUGAUGGAAGAUCCAAAUGUGCAGAAGAUGGUUUACCCCUAUCUACCUGAGGAGAUGAGGAAUCCGACUACUUUUAAGAUUAUGAUACAAAAUCCUCAAUACCGCCAGCAGCUGCAAGAUAUGCUAAAUAAUAUGGGUGGAAGUAGUGAAUGGGACAACCGCAUAACGGAAUCAUUGAGAAAUUUCGACCUCAGCAGUCCUGAGGUCAAACAACAAUUUGAUUCUUGGUCUUUGGUCCUUCAAGCUGGAAUUCUUUGAGGGUUGGUAUCCAUGGCAUCAAGGGGCUCCUUUGUUCGCUCGAUGCCCUAUAUGCUAAGGCACCUUUUCCUCUCGCUCCGGUAGUCUAGGUGUAAUUUUCUAAUGGUGGAGACAAAGGGGAGAUAAGUUGGAUGUUCAUCCUGUCAUUCAUGUAUUUCUGCAAUAUUCCGAAGAACAGAUAGGACUCACUCCAGAAGAAGUUAUAUCUAAAAUAAUGGCAAAUCCUGAAGUUGCUGUGGCAUUUCAAAAUCCCAAAGUGCAAGCUGCCAUCAUGGAUUGCUCACAAAACCCGCUUAGCAUUGCGAAAUAUCAAAAUGACAAGGAGGUUAUGGAUGUCUUCACGAAGAUAUCAGAACUUUUCCCUGGGGUGACAGGUUACCCCUGACCGACAUCACAUGGUCAAAUUCACAAUUUUGAUGGUUCUGUCCACUAUUUAGCUGCCACUGAAUGAUGAAUUCUCGUUUGGCUUUGCAUCACCGUUUUAAGAUGCUGAGGUGCAGCACCUGGAUGUCCAAUAUUACUGCAACACAACCCACCCUUGUUAUAUGUAGAUGAUGGAUCCCCCAAAGUUUUUUCAGUGUUGGAUGGUUCGACAUUGAGAAAAAGGUCCUGUACGUGUUAGGUGUGUUGGUAUGUAAUUGUCCGCUUCUAUCCUUCUCCCUUGAAUCAAAGGAACAUGAAAUGGCUCUUGCCCUUUGUAAUCUUUAUGAACAAGUAGUUAACUUUCUUCAAUAAGAUGGGUAUGUAUUAUUUGCCCAGCCAAGCCUUCUUGCAAGAGCUGCUUAAAUAUGCAGAACCACCUUGGAGAUUUUUCUACCCCUUAGUUGGAGACUGUUUAUGUUCUUUGGCUGCUGCCAAUGCUAAAAGGAAGGCCAACAUGGUUGCCUACCUGCUUUCUAUAUGGCGUAAAGCAUUACAGGGUGCAAUCUGCAGGUAUGGUCACUGCUAAAAUUUAUCGGCACUCAUUUCUGUGUAUUAAGAAUCUAUCUCUUUGGUUUUUCGGGUGCAUUCGACUGGUUGCGGUUAAGACCGGUCAAAUUCUAUGUUAAGGGGACCCUUUAAAUAAUUAACUGUGGCGUCCAUUACAAUAUUGGAUUGCUAAAGCUGUUGAUACUAUAUUGGAGUCAUCAAUUCUGAAUUUUGUGGUGGUUGUGCAUC